rnacentral:rRNA from 1 species
CAGCCGCCGCGGUAAUACGAAGGGUGCAAGCGUUACUCGGAAUUACUGGGCGUAAAGCGUGUGUAGGUGGUUGUUUAAGUCUGUCGUGAAAGCCCUGGGCUCAACCUGGGAAUUGCGAUGGAUACUGGGCGACUAGAGUGCGGUAGAGGAUAGUGGAAUUUCCGGUGUAGCAGUGAAUUGCGUAGAGAUCGGAAGGAACAUCUGUGGCGAAGGCGACUAUCUGGGCCAACACUGACACUGAGACACGAAAGCGUGGGGAGCAAACAGGAUUAGAUACCCGUUUAGUCCCUGUCUCUUAUAC